GAUGAACGCUGGCGGCGUGCCUAAUACAUGCAAGUCGAGCGAACGGACGAGAAUCUUGCUUCUCUUAUGUUAGCGGCGGACGGGUGAGUAACACGUGGAUAACCUACCUAUAAGACUGGGAUAACUUCGGGAAACCGGAUCUAAUACCGGAUAAUAUUGUGAACCGCAUGGUUCAACAGUGAUAGACGGUCUUGCUGUCACUUAUAGAUGGAUCCUGGCUGCAUUAGCUAGUUGGUACGGUAACGGCCUACCAAGGCUACGAUGCAUAACCGAUCUGAGAGGGGGAUUAGUCACACUGGAAAUGGGACACGGUCCAGACUCCUACGGGAGGGAGCAGUGGGGAAUAUUUGACAAUGGGCGAAAGCCUGAUCCAGCCAUGCCGCGGGUGGGAAGGAGGUCUUCGGAUUGUAAAACACUUUUAGUUGGGAGGAAACGCAGUAAGUAAAAACCUUGCUGUUUUGACGGGAACAACAGAAGAAGCACCGGCUAACUUCGUG
rnacentral:rRNA from 1 species